rnacentral:rRNA from 1 species
CCUACGGGUGGCAGCAGUGAGGAAUAUUGGGCAAUGGACGAGAGUCUGAACCAGCCAAGUAGCGUGAAGGAUGACUGCCCUAUGGGUUGUAAACUUCUUUUAUAUGGGAAUAAAAUGUUCCACGUGUGGGAUUUUGUAUGUACCAUAUGAAUAAGGAUCGGCUAACUCCGUGCCAGCAGCCGCGGUAAUACGGAGGAUCCGAGCGUUAUCCGGAUUUAUUGGGUUUAAAGGGAGCGUAGGUGGAUUGUUAAGUCAGUUGUGAAAGUUUGCGGCUCAACCGUAAAAUUGCAGUUGAAACUGGCAGUCUUGAGUACAGUAGAGGUGGGCGGAAUUCGUGGUGUAGCGGUGAAAUGCUUAGAUAUCACGAAGAACUCCGAUUGCGAAGGCAGUUCACUGGACUGCAACUGACACUGAGGCUCGAAAGUGUGGGUAUCAAACAGGAUUAGAUACCCUUGUAGUC